GUACACUCCUACGGGAGGCAGCAGUAGGGAAUCUUCGGCAAUGGGGGCAACCCUGACCGAGCAACGCCGCGUGAGUGAAGAAGGUUUUCGGAUCGUAAAGCUCUGUUGUAAGUCAAGAACGAGUGUGAGAGUGGAAAGUUCACACUGUGACGGUAGCUUACCAGAAAGGGACGGCUAACUACGUGCCAGCAGCCGCGGUAAUACGUAGGUCCCGAGCGUUGUCCGGAUUUAUUGGGCGUAAAGCGAGCGCAGGCGGUUUGAUAAGUCUGAAGUUAAAGGCUGUGGCUCAACCAUAGUUCGCUUUGGAAACUGUCAAACUUGAGUGCAGAAGGGGAGAGUGGAAUUCCAUGUGUAGCGGUGAAAUGCGUAGAUAUAUGGAGGAACACCGGUGGCGAAAGCGGCUCUCUGGUCUGUAACUGACGCUGAGGCUCGAAAGCGUGGGGAGCGAACAGGAUUAGAUACCCCGGUAGUCCC
rnacentral:rRNA from 1 species